GACGAACGCUGGCGGCGUGCUUAACACAUGCCAGUCGAACGGAAAGGCCCUGCUUUUGUGGGGUGCUCGAGUGGCGAACGGGUGAGUAACACGUGAGUAACCUGCCCUUGACUUUGGGAUAACUUCAGGAAACUGGGGCUACUACCGGAUAGGAGCUCCUGCUGCAUGGUGGGGGUUGGAAAGUUUCGGCGGUUGGGGAUGGACUCGCGGCUUAUCAGCUUGUUGGUGGGGUAGUGGCUGACCAAGGCUGUGACGGGUCGCCGGCCUGAGAGGGUGACCGGCGACAUUGGGACUGAGAUACGGCCCAGACUCCUACGGGAGGCAGCAGUGGGGAGUAUGGCACAAUGAGCGGAAGCCUGAGGCAGCAACGCCGCGUGCGGGAUGACGGCCUUCGGGGUGUAAACCGCUUUCGCCUGUGACGAAGCGUGAGUGACGGUAAUGGGUAAAGAAGCACCGGCUAACUACGUG
rnacentral:rRNA from 1 species